rnacentral:rRNA from 1 species
GACGAACGCUGGCGGCGUGCUUAACACAUGCAAGUCGAACGGAAAGGCCUGUCCUUCCUUGUGUUGGACGGGUACUCGAGUGGCGAACGGGUGAGUAACACGUGAGUGAUCUGCCCCCAACUUGGGUAUAAGCCUGGGAAACUGGGUCUAAUUCCCGAUAGGACUGCAGGGUGGUGCCUGUGGUGGAAAACGAUUUUCUAGUGGUUGGGGAUGAGCUCGCGGCCUAUCAGCUUGUUGGUGGGGUAAUGGCCUACCAAGGCGGCGACGGGUAGCCGGCCUGGGAGGGUGGACGGCCACAUUGGGACUGAGAUACGGCCCAGACUCCUACGGGAGGCAGCAGUGGGGAAUAUUGCACAAUGGGCGGAAGCCUGAUGCAGCGACGCCGCGUGGGGGAUGACGGCCUUCGGGUUGUAAACUCCUUUCGACCGCGAGGAAGCCGCCUGGUUGGAAGGGUGGUGACGGUAGUGGUAGAAGAAGCACCGGCUAACUACGU